rnacentral:rRNA from 1 species
GAUCAUGGCUCAGAUUGAACGCUGGCGGCAGGCCUAACACAUGCAAGUCGAACGGUAACAGAAAGAAGCUUGCUUCUUUGCUGACGAGUGGCGGACGGGUGAGUAAUGUCUGGGAAACUGCCUGAUGGAGGGGGGAUAACUACUGGAAACGGUAGCUAAUACCGCAUAACGUCGCAAGACCAAAGAGGGGGGACCUUCGGGCCUCUUGCCAUCGGAUGUGCCCAGAUGGGAUUAGCUUGUUGGG